ensembl:Mt_tRNA
AGAAAUUUAGGUUAACACAGACCAAGAGCCUUCAAAGCCCUCAGCAAGUCACAGCACUUAAUUUCUG